UACGUAGGGGGCAAGCGUUGUCCGGAAUUAUUGGGCGUAAAGAGUGUGUAGGCGGUCCGGUAAGUCAGCUGUGAAAGUCAAGGGCUCAACCCUUGAAUGCCGGUUGAUACUGUCGGGCUAGAGUCCGGAAGAGGCGAGUGGAAUUCCCGGUGUAGCGGUGAAAUGCGCAGAUAUCGGGAGGAACACCAAUGGCGAAGGCAGCUCGCUGGGACGGUACUGACGCUGAGACGCGAAAGCGUGGGGAGCAAACAGG
rnacentral:rRNA from 1 species